rnacentral:rRNA from 1 species
CACGUAGGGCGCAAGCGUUGUCCGGAAUUAUUGGGCGUAAAGAGCUCGUAGGCGGUCUGUUGCGUCUGCUGUGAAAACCCGGGGCUUAACCCCUGGCUUGCAGUGGAUACGGACAGACUAGAGGUAGGUAGGGGAGAAUGGAAUUCCCGGUGUAGCGGUGAAAUGCGCAGAUAUCGGGAGGAACACCGGUGGCGAAGGCAGCUCGCUGGGACGGUACUGACGCUGAGACGCGAAAGCGUGGGGAGCAAACAGG